GACGAACGCUGGCGGCGUGCUUAACACAUGCAAGUCGAACGGUAAGGCCUUCGGGUACACGAGUGGCGAACGGGUGAGUAACACGUGGGUGAUCUGCCCCCUACUCUGGGAUAAGCCUGGGAAACUGGGUCUAAUACCGGAUAUGACCCCCUGCUUCAUGGUGGGUGGUGGAAAGUUUUUUCGGUAGGGGAUGAGCCCGCGGCCUAUCAGCUUGUUGGUGGGGUAAUGGCCUACCAAGGCGACGACGGGUAGCCGGCCUGAGAGGGCGACCGGCCACACGGGGACUGAGACACGGCCCAGACUCCUACGGGAGGCAGCAGUGGGGAAUAUUGCACAAUGGGCGAAAGCCUGAUGCAGCGACGCCGCGUGGGGGGUGACGGCCUUCGGGUUGUAAACCCCUUUCAGUCGGGACGAAGCGCAAGUGACGGUACCGAUAGAAGAAGCACCGGCCAACUACGUGCCAGCCGCCGCCGUAAUAC
rnacentral:rRNA from 1 species